rnacentral:rRNA from 1 species
AACGAACGCUGGCGGCAGGCUUAACACACGCAAGUCGAACGGUUGCAGCAAUGCAGCAGUGGCAGACGGGUGAGUAACACGUGGGAACCUUCCUAGGGGUACGGAACAACUCAGGGAAACUUGAGCCAAUACCGUAUACGUCCGUGAGGAGAAAGAUUUAUCGCCCUUAGACGGGCCCGCGUCGGAUUAGCUAGUUGGUGGGGUAACGGCCUACCAAGGCGACGAUCCGUAGCUGAUCUUAGAGGAUGAUCAGCCACACUGGGACUGAGACACGGCCCAGACUCCUACGGGAGGCAGCAGUGGGGAAUUUUGGACAAUGGGCGCAAGCCUGAUCCAGCCAUGCCGCGUGAGUGAAGAAGGUCUUCGGAUUGUAAAGCUCUUUUGCCAGGGACGAUAAUGACGGUACCUGGAGAAUAAGCCCCGGCAAACUUCGUGCCAGCCGCCGCCGUAA